rnacentral:rRNA from 1 species
UACAGAGGGGGCAAGCGUUAUUCGGAAUUAUUGGGCGUAAAGAGCUCGUAGGCGGUCUGUCGCGUCGAUCGUGAAAACUUGGGGCUUAACCCUGAGCUUGCGGUCGAUACGGGCAUGACUGGAGUUCGGCAGGGGAGACUGGAAUUCCUGGUGUAGCGGUGAAAUGCGCAGAUAUCAGGAGGAACACCGGUGGCGAAGGCGGGUCUCUGGGCCGAUACUGACGCUGAGGAGCGAAAGCGUGGGGAGCGAACAGG